UACAGAGGUCCCAAGCGUUGUUCGGAUUCACUGGGCGUAAAGGGUGCGUAGGUGGUGAGGUAAGUCGGAUGUGAAAGCUCGGAGCUCAACUCCGAAAUGGCAUUGGAAACUACCUUGCUAGAGGGUUGGAGGGGGGACUGGAAUGCUUGGUGUAGCAGUGAAAUGCGUAGAUAUCAAGUGGAACACCAGUGGCGAAGGCGAGUCCCUGGACAAUUCCUGACGCUGAGGCACGAAAGCUAGGGGAGCAAACAGG
rnacentral:rRNA from 1 species